rnacentral:rRNA from 1 species
CCUACGGGUGGCAGCAGUGGGGAAUUUUUGGCAAUGGGGGCAACCCUGACCAAGCAACGCCGCGUGGAUGAUGAAGUAUCUCGGUACGUAAAAUCCUUUCGACGGGGACGAAACCGCAAGGUUGACGGUACCCGUAGAAGAAGCCCCGGCUAACUCCGUGCCAGCAGCCGCGGUAAUACGGGGGGGGCAAGCGUUGUUCGGAAUUACUGGGCGUAAAGGGCGCGUAGGCCGCUUGUUAAGUCGGGUGUGAAAACUCUGGGCUCAACCCAGAGCCUGCAUUCGAAACUGACGAGCUAGAGUUCUGGAGGGGAAAGCGGAAUUCCUGGUGUAGCAGUGAAAUGCGUAGAUAUCAGGAGGAACACCGGUGGCGAAGGCGGCUUUCUGGACAGAAACUGACGCUGAGGCGCGAAAGCUAGGGGAGCAAACAGGAUUAGAUACCC